rnacentral:misc_RNA from 1 species
AACCUAGCACACCUGCGGUGUGUACCUGCGGAGGGAUCAUUACCUAGAGUUGUAGGCUUUGCCUGCUAUCUCUUACCCAUGUCUUUUGAGUACCUUACGUUUCCUCGGUGGGCUCGCCCACCGAUUGGACAAAUUUAAACCCUUUGCAGUUGAAAUCAGCGUCUGAAAAAACUUAAUAGUUACAACUUUUAGCAACGGAUCU